UUUGAUAAUGAUGAUUUUCACCGCCCCAGUCUGACUGUUAUGACUGACUGGUUCAUCUGAAUCGUU